GUGGCUGAAAUGGAUCGUAUCACAGAAACAAUGGAGAAAAAGGCUAAACAGGAGAUGGUUUGGUUUGACAACAAAGCUAUGAACGACAUGUCUAUAGCAGCAAGGUUUGAGACCGAGACUCUCAAGAAGUUUGACGAUGAGACUCGUCGUAUAUUCAAAGCAAAUCUAGAAAAUACUGAAAAAUUGACGAAUUUGAUCAAGAAAUUAAGCAAAGGUAUUGCGGAC